rnacentral:rRNA from 1 species
CGCGUAGGUGGUUCGUUAAGUUGGAUGUGAAAGUUCGGGGCUUAACCCCGGAAUUGCAUUUGAAACUGUAAUACUUGAGUACUGGAGAGGUAAGUGGAAUUCCUAGUGUAGCGGUGAAAUGCGUAGAUAUUAGGAGGAACACCAGUGGCGAAGGCGACUUACUGGACAGAUACUGACGCUGAGGCGCGAAAGCGUGGGGAGCAAACAGGAUUAGAUACCCUAGUA